UUAAAGAAGCGUUUUCGGUGGCAGCCUGGGUAUAAAUCCUUUGGAAUAGGGUAUCAUAGAGGGUGAGAAUCCCGUCUUUGACCUAGUGCAUGCUACUAUGUGAUACGUUUUCAAAGAGUCGAGUUGUUUGGGAAUGCAGCUCAAAAUGGGUGGUAAAUUUCAUCUAAAGCUAAAUAUUGGCGAGAGACCGAUAGCGAACAAGUACCGUGAGGGAAAGAUGAAAAGAACUUUGAAAAGAGAGUUAAACAGUGCGUGAAAUUGUUGAAAGGGAAACGUUUGACACCAGUCAUGUGGGUGGAAAAUCAGUCUUUUGCAUUGGGGAGUUGUAAGGGUUCGGACCGCANGGCCGGCUUUUGCUUCAUCUUUGGUGUAAGUGAUGCACUUUUUCAUCUACAGGUCAACAUCAGUUUCUUUUGCUGGACAAAACUCCUAGAGAAGGUAGCAGCUUANGCUGUGUUAUAGCUCUGGAGCGAUACAGUGAAGGGGACUGAGGUUUUCNCANCGUGUGCUCUCGGGCAAGGCUGGAUGGGUGCUAUGGGAUCGUUCGGGGUACAAUGCCUGGCAUUUUGCUUCGUGUCUUUUCUAUACUCGCUCAACUCA
rnacentral:rRNA from 1 species